rnacentral:misc_RNA from 1 species
AAGACUAUAGACCUGCGGAGUACCUGCGGAAGGAUCAUUUUUGGAUUCUCUUAAUAGUGCCGACAACAUUCUUGUUGUCGACCAGCAAACAACAACACCUGUGAUAACACAGCAACGUGUCUGAUAACCAUUAUAUAAUACAAACAACUUUCAGCAAUGGAUCUCU